GGAUUCCCCUAGUAACGGCGAGUGAAGCGGGAAGAGCUCAAAUUUUAAAUCUGGCGUCCUUCGGGCGUCCGAGUUGUAAUCUAGAGAAGUGUUUUCCGCGUUGGACCCACCAUAAGUUACCUCGAACGGUACAUCAUAGAGGGUGAGAAUCCCGUGUGUUGGUGGGAAGCCCAGUGCUCUGCGAUGCGCUCUCGACGAGUCGAGUUGUUUGGGAAUGCAGCUCAAAAUGGGAGGUAAAUUCCUUCUAAAGCUAAAUACAUUGGGAUGACCGAUAGCGAACAAGUACCGUGAGGGAAAGAUGAAAAGCACUUUGGAAAGAGAGUUAAACAGUACGUGAAAUUGUUGGUAGGGAAACGCUUGAAGUCAGUCGCGUCUUCUUGGACUCAACCUUGCUUCUGCUUGGUGCAUUUCCUAGUUGACGGGCCAGCGUCCAUUUCACUCGUCGGAAAAGAGCGGUUCGAAUGUGGCAGUUUAGGCUGUGUUAUAGCUUACCGUUGUAUGCGACGUCUGGGAUGGAUCUUACAGCACGCCU
rnacentral:rRNA from 1 species